rnacentral:rRNA from 1 species
GAUUAAAGCCCCUUCGUGGGUAUAUACAGUGGCGAAAGGGCGAGGAAUACGUUCCUACGUACCCCGAGGUCGGGGAUAGCCCGGGGAAACCCGGAGUAAUACCCGAUGUGGUCCGUCGCAAGGCGGAUCAAAGGCUUCGGUCGCCUUGGGAGCGGGGAACGUCCUAUCAGGUUGUUGGUGAGGUAAAGGCUCACCAAGCCGAAGACGGGUAGCGGGUGUGAGAGCACGAACCGCCGCAUCGGGACUGAGACACUGCCCGGACUCCUACGGGAGGCUGCAGCAACGAAUCUUCCGCAAUGCGCGAAAGCGUGACGGAGCAAUGCCGCGUGCAGGAUGAAGCCCUUCGGGGUGUAAACUGCUGUCAGGGUUUAGCAACACAAUGAGCAGACCCAAAGGAAGGGCCGGCUAACUUCGUGCCAGCAGCCGCGGUAUACGAAGGGCCCGAGCGUUGCGCGGAAUCACUGGGCUUAAAGCGUACGUAGGCGGGCAUGCAGGUAUCUUGUGAAAUCCCUCGGCUCAACCGAGGAACCGCUUGGUAAACCGCAUGUCUUGAGGCAAGUAGAGGCUGUCGGAACGAUAGGUGGAGCGGUGAAAUGCGUUGAUAUCUAUCGGAACGCCGAAGGUGAAGACAGGCAGCUGGGCUUGUUCUGACGCUGAUGUACGAAAGCGUGGGGAGCGAACGGGAUUAGAUACCCCGGUAGUCCACGCCGUAAACGAUGUGCACUAGAUCGAGGGGGUU